GAUGAACGCUGGCGGCGUGCCUAAUACAUGCAAGUCGAGCGAACAGACGAGGAGCUUGCUCCUCUGACGUUAGCGGCGGACGGGUGAGUAACACGUGGAUAACCUACCUAUAAGACUGGGAUAACUUCGGGAAACCGGAGCUAAUACCGGAUAAUAUAUUGAACCGCAUGGUUCAAUAGUGAAAGACGGUUUUGCGGUCACUUAUAGAUGGAUCCGCGCCGCAUUAGCUAGUUGGUAAGGUAACGGCUUACCAAGGCAACGAUGCGUAGCCGACCUGAGAGGGUGAUCGGCCACACGAGAACUGAGACACGGACCAGACUCCUGCGGGAGGCCGCAGUCGGGCAUCUUCCGCAAUUGGCGAAUGCCUGACGGAGCACCGCCGCGUGAGUCAUGAAGGUCUUCGGAUCGUAAAACUCUGUUAUUAGGUAAGAACAAUUGUGUAAGUACCUAUGCACGUCUUGACGGUACCUAAUCAGAAAGCCACGGCUAACUACGUG
rnacentral:rRNA from 1 species